GACGAACGCUGGCGGCGUGCUUAACACAUGCAAGUCGAACGAUGAAGCCGGAGCUUGCUCUGGUGAAUUAGUGGCGAACGGGUGAGUAACACGUGAGUAACCUGCCCAUAAGACUGGGAUAACUCCGGGAAACCGGGGCUAAUACCGGAUAACAUUUUGAACCGCAUGGUUCGAAAUCGAAAGGCGGCUUCGGCUGUCACUUAUGGAUGGACCCGCGUCGCAUUAGCUAGUUGGUGAGGUAACGGCUCACCAAGGCAACGAUGCGUAGCCGACCUGAGAGGGUGAGCGGCCACACUGGGACUGCGACACGGCCCAGACUCCUACGGGAGGCAGCAGUAGGGAAUCUUCCGCAAUGGACGAAAGUCUGACGGAGCAACGCCGCGUGAGUGAUGAAGGCUUUCGGGUCGUAAAACUCUGUUGUUAGGGAAGAACAAGUGCUAGUUGAAUAAGCUGGCACCUUGACGGUACCUAACCAGAAAGCCACGGCUAACUACGUGCCAGCCGCCGCAGUAA
rnacentral:rRNA from 1 species